rnacentral:rRNA from 1 species
AUUGAACGCUGGCGGCAUGCCUUACACAUGCAAGUCGAACGGCAGCACGGGUGCUUGCACCUGGUGGCGAGUGGCGAACGGGUGAGUAAUACAUCGGAACAUGUCCUGUAGUGGGGGAUAGCCCGGCGAAAGCCGGAUUAAUACCGCAUACGAUCUACGGAUGAAAGCGGGGGACCUUCGGGCCUCGCGCUAUAGGGUUGGCCGAUGGCUGAUUAGCUAGUUGGUGGGGUAAAGGCCUACCAAGGCGACGAUCAGUAGCUGGUCUGAGAGGACGACCAGCCACACUGGGACUGAGACACGGCCCAGACUCCUACGGUAGGCAGCAGUGGGGAAUUUUGGACAAUGGGCGAAAGCCUGAUCCAGCAAUGCCGCGUGUGUGAAGAAGGCCUUCGGGUUGUAAAGCACUUUUGUCCGGAAAGAAAUCCUUGGCCCUAAUACGGUCGGGGGAUGACGGUACCGGAAGAAUAAGCACCGGCUAACUACGU